GACGAACGCUGGCGGCGCGCCUAACACAUGCAAGUCGAACGAGCGAGAGAGAGCUUGCUUUCUCAAGCGAGUGGCGAACGGGUGAGUAACGCGUGAGGAACCUGCCUCAAAGAGGGGGACAACAGUUGGAAACGACUGCUAAUACCGCAUAAGCCCACAGGUCGGCAUCGACCAGAGGGAAAAGGAGCAAUCCGCUUUGAGAUGGCCUCGCGUCCGAUUAGCUAGUUGGUGAGGUAACGGCCCACCAAGGCAACGAUCGGUAGCCGGACUGAGAGGUGGAACGGCCACAUUGGGACUGAGACACGGCCCAGACUCCUACGGGAGGCAGCAGUGGGGAAUAUUGCACAAUGGGGGAAACCCUGAUGCAGCGACGCCGCGUGGAGGAAGAAGGUCUUCGGAUUGUAAACUCCUGUUGUUGAGGAAGAUAAUGACGGUACUCAACAAGGAAGUGACGGCUAACUACG
rnacentral:rRNA from 1 species